rnacentral:tRNA from 1 species
UGGGCUUUGGUGUAAUUGGUUGCACAUCCUGCGAAAUCAGGAAGGUCCCGGUUCGAGUCCGGGAUGCCAA